GGAAUCCCAGGAACAAAAAAAAAUCUUUUGUCGAGCAGUUGAACUGUGCACCGCAUUUUUUUCAUUAUGCUUGUAAGGUGUCAUUUUAUCGCGCUUUUGUAGCAUGUUUUCCUUCCUGUUCAUUUGCAUGUCUUUUGGCAAAUUCAUUUUAAAAAUUAAACCCUCUACUGUAAAAAAGAUACAUAUGGUAAUCUUUGCAUUUGAAGCACGUC
rnacentral:lncRNA from 1 species